CUGAGCGGAGCAUGAGUAUAUGCAACUCAGUUACAAUGGGUAGAUUCCUUUAAGGACGCUUAGA
rnacentral:tRNA from 1 species